UACGUAGGGGGCUAGCGUUGUCCGGAAUCAUUGGGCGUAAAGAGCGUGUAGGCGGUCCGGUAAGUCCGCUGUGAAAGUCGGGGGCUCAACCCUCGAAUGCCGGUGGAUACUGUCGGGCUAGAGUGCGGAAGAGGCGAGUGGAAGUUCCUGGUGUAGCGGUGGAAUGACGCAGAUAUCAGGAGGAACACCAACGGCGAAGGCAGCUCGCUGGGACGGUACUGACGCUGAGGCGCGAAAGCGUGGGGAGCGAACAGG
rnacentral:rRNA from 1 species